GAAAUGCGAUACGUAGUGUGAAUUGCAGAAUUCAGUGAAUCAUCGAAUCUUUGAACGCACAUUGCGCCCUUUGGUAUUCCAAAGGGCAUGCCUGUUCGAGCGUCAUUUGUACCCUCAAGCUUUGCUUGGUGUUGGGCGUUUUUUGUCUUUGGUUGCCAAAGACUCGCCUUAAAAGGAUUGGCAGCCGUCCUACUGGUUUCGCAGCGCAGCACAUUUUUGCGCUUGCAACCAGCAAAAGAGGACGGCAAUCCAUCAAGACUCCUUUUCACGUUUGACCCCGGAUCGGGUAGGGAUACCCGCUGAACUUAAGC
rnacentral:misc_RNA from 1 species